CACCUUAGUGAGAUUGAGUUGGGUCACUUCGAGUUGCUGUCGUCUUUAGCUUCAGGAGUCGGAGGUUUAUUUUUGUACCAGAUUUAAAUCCCUCUAUUUGGAGCAGGUUCUUAUUUAUCACUUUAUUUAUUUAUUUUCCGCAUCGCUUUUAUUUUAUUUACUUUAUGUUUACGCUUUUAUUUUAUUUAUUUUCCGCACUCGCUUUACUUUAUU
rnacentral:lncRNA from 1 species